CACGUAGUCUGCCAUACGCAGGAAGACCC
rnacentral:rRNA from 1 species